rnacentral:sRNA from 2 species
UAUUUACUUUCGCUGAGUCCUUGAAUGGAAAAGGAACGGGGGAACCAAACGGGAGCUGUUAAGCUCUCCGGGGUGAAUCCCGAAGACGGUGGCAGCCGUUAUUCGGGUAGGGCGACUCUCACGCCCGAAUCCGUCAGCUAACCUCGUAAGCGUAUCGGGAGAGGCAAC